rnacentral:rRNA from 1 species
GACGAACGCUGGCGGCGUGCUUAACACAUGCAAGUCGAACGGAAAGGCCCUGCUUUUGUGGGGUGCUCGAGUGGCGAACGGGUGAGUAACACGUGAGUAACCUGCCCUUGACCUUGGGAUAACUUCAGGAAACUGGGGCUAAUACCGGAUAGGAGCUCCUGCUGCAUGGUGGGGGUUGGAAAGUUUCGGCGGUUGGGGAUGGACUCGCGGCUUAUCAGCUUGUUGGUGGGGUAGUGGCUUACCAAGGCUUUGACGGGUAGCCGGCCUGAGAGGGUGACCGGCCACAUUGGGACUGAGAUACGGCCCAGACUCCUACGGGAGGCAGCAGUGGAGAAUAUUGCACAAUGGGCGGAAGCCUGAUGCAGCAACGCCGCGUGCGGGAUGACGGCCUUCGGGUUGUAAACCGCUUUCGCCUGUGACGAAGCGUGAGUGACGGUAAUGGGUAAAGAAGCACCGGCUAACUACGUG